rnacentral:rRNA from 1 species
AUUGAACGCUGGCGGAAUGCUUUACACAUGCAAGUCGAACGGUAGAGGGGGCAACCCCUCGAGAGUGGCGAACGGGUGAGUAAUAUAUCGGAACGUGCCCAGUCGUGGGGGAUAACGUAGCGAAAGUUACGCUAAUACCGCAUACGAUCUAAGGAUGAAAGCGGGGGAUCGCAAGACCUCGCGCGAUUGGAGCGGCCGAUAUCAGAUUAGGUAGUUGGUGGGGUAAAGGCUCACCAAGCCAACGAUCUGUAGCUGGUCUGAGAGGACGACCAGCCACACGGGAACUGCGACACGGUCCAGACUCCUGCGGGAGGCAGCAGUGGGGAAUGUUGGACAAUGGACGCAAGUCUGAUCCAGCCAUUCCGCGUGCAGGAUGAAGGCCCUCGGGUUGUAAACUGCUUUUGUACGGAACGAAAAGGUCUCUCUUAAUACGGGGGACUCAUGACGGUACCGUAAGAAUAAGCACCGGCUAACUACGUGCCAGCCGCCGCCGUAA